CCAUUAAUCCCUCCGAUCCAUAUUAAUUGUCGAAAUAUUAUAUGUAUUUAGACGCUUUUUAAGCAUAGAUACAUCCAUAUUUGGGCAAAUUUGAGACAAUUGAUAUGGAUCGGAGGGAGUAUCAU
rnacentral:pre_miRNA from 1 species